GUGCAAGUGAGGUGCGAAAAAAAUCGAAGCAGCGGUGAAAGGUGAAAAUAAAUGGAAUCGUUUUAAAUAUACAAAUUAAAAGGUUUUGCAGCCGGCAUCGUGUAGUGUACAGGAAAAUAACCGGGUUAGAGCCACGACUUCAUUGACUUUUAAAAUCGCUAUCGACGAUAUUCAACCCGUUGUAUCACUUACUUUACCAUCGGAUUCAGAAUAAGAAAAGUAGAGGAAGCGAAUCAAGAAAAUCCUUGACCCUGAACAAAGUUCUAAACUAAGUGGUUAACGUAUCUCUAAUAAAUUACAAUUACAAUUACAAUUACAAAAUGAAAGCCAACCGAACCGAGAAAAGACAGGCAAGGAAUAUUAUCUGUGCGCAAGAGGAGAGCGGCAAAGGAAAGGCCAGAAACCAGCUGCCAAUGAGCAUGAUGGGCCGAUGGAUCUGCUGGCCAAACCGUAAGAUUAUACCAUUGAAUUCAGCUUUCCGAAUCUGACUCCUUUGCAGCCUCCAUUUCGUUUGCACAGUGUGACCAUUGAUGUCCUGGAUAAAAUCCUCUGUUCGUCAGAGUUGUUUGAUAUCAAGAUGAUCAGUCCUGUUGCCAUUGUGGGUCCAAAUAGCGUUGGCAAGUAAACUUUCCUGAAACUACCGGUUGGUGAUCUGCAGACUGCAGGCAACGGAGCAAAGAAAAAUCAUUGUUACCGGAUCCAACGAACAUCUGAGUACCGAGGCAAACAUGUUAAUGUUUAUUCGGCAAACAUGUUCAACUUACAAAAAAUCACGGAGUUCUCAAAAGCACACCGGUUAUUGAUAUCAAACCACCAACGAGCAUCAUGAAAAAAAUCGCACUCAAACGAAUCCCACCGCAAGACAAAUCUGCAUAUUGUUUUCUGGCUCUCGCUAGUGGAUGAAAAAUUCCGCAACCAGUCACUCAAAUACCCGGGUUUGAUAUCCGGCUACACCAUUGAUCAAUGGCGGCCGGAAGAUGUCUGAUAGCGAUACCGAAUCAUUUUCUCAAAAAUAUAUUCGUUGGUGGCAUUCGUGAAGGACAGGUUACCAUAGCUGUGCAUACAGUAUUUUAAAAGUCUCAGACGCCAGGCUCGUGGUACUUUCAUAUCGAUCCCAUCCAUUCUACAUAGUUCGCGUUUGGAAAACAUGAUGAAUACCGAUUUUUUAUAAGAUCCUUUGCCAUGAGGCAGAUUUAAUCACAGCAAAAACCGUAGAUUUCAUUACCCGUUACUUAGAGUAUCCGGUGUAUACGUCCGAGGAAGCUAGGACAGCUUGUAACCAAACAGGUCUACUACAGUGGACAACGGCUAAGACUAAGAUCUACGAUAUCAACAGAGAUGCACUUUUGCUAAAGGCAAUUUUUUUGCAAUACAGUGGAAUCAGUUUGAAAUAACUACAGUACAGUAUAUUCACAGCGAAUCCCACUGUUGAUUGAAGUUAAUGAAGAAUUAGAUCCCUUAAUAAGACAACAUCAAGGCAAUACCUCUAAGAUGAAAAUCGAAACUUGACCAAAGAUGUAACAACCGGUCGUGGAUGCAAGAACUGGAAACAACUCUGCUUCACAAAUUGCUGACUCGAUAACCACGGCAAACAUCAGGAGCUGUACAUUUUUGGCGGUGAACGAGGCAAGGACUACAUGACGGACUUUCUGAUUUACUAUAUGGAUAUAUCCUAUAGCGGUGAAUUAUCCAGCUGAUGCCAGAAUGAUGUCGUACUUAAUUCGACAAAGCUGAAAGGGUCUUACAAGCAAGUUUUCCUACUCUUAAAAUCAGACAUCUUUUGCCAAGCCUACAAGAAGAACACCCCAAACCGAAUAGAAUCACCGAAAAGUGGCAAAUCUCGCGUCACUUUUCAUUUCGUCCAAUGUAACAAAUGUAAACAAAUCCGGUUUAUCACAACAAAUUAUUGCUCUUUUUAAACUCUAUGUUAUACAAAAACACCUGCCCAAAUAGAAUUAUUUUGAGGUGAAAAA